AGAGUUUGAUCCUGGCUCAGAUUGAACGCUGGCGGCUGGCCUAACACAUGCAAGUCGAGCGGUAGAGAGGAGCUUGCUCCUCUUGAGAGCGGCGGACGGGUGAGUAAUGCCUAGGAAUCUGCCUGGUAGUGGGGGAUAACGUUCGGAAACGGACGCUAAUACCGCAUACGUCCUACGGGAGAAAGCAGGGGACCUUCGGGCCUUGCGCUAUCAGAUGAGCCUAGGUCGGAUUAGCUAGUUGGUGAGGUAAUGGCUCACCAAGGCGACGAUCCGUAACUGGUCUGAGAGGAUGAUCAGUCACACUGGAACUGAGACACGGUCCAGACUCCUACGGGAGGCAGCAGUGGGGAAUAUUGGACAAUGGGCGAAAGCCUGAUCCAGCCAUGCCGCGUGUGUGAAGAAGGUCUUCGGAUUGUAAAGCACUUUAAGUUGGGAGGAAGGGCAGUAAAUUAAUACUUUGCUGUUUUGACGUUACCGACAGAAUAAGCACCGGCUAACUCUGUGCCAGCAGCCGCGGUAAUACAGAGGGUGCAAGCGUUAAUCGGAAUUACUGGGCGUAAAGCGCGCGUAGGUGGUUUGUUAAGUUGGAUGUGAAAUCCCCGGGCUCAACCUGGGAACUGCAUUCAAAACUGACUGACUAGAGUAUGGUAGAGGGUGGUGGAAUUUCCUGUGUAGCGGUGAAAUGCGUAGAUAUAGGAAGGAACACCAGUGGCGAAGGCGACCACCUGGACUAAUACUGACACUGAGGUGCGAAAGCGUGGGGGGCAAACAGGAUUAGAUACCCUGGUAGUCCACGCCGUAAACGAUGUCAACUAGCCGUUGGAAGCCUUGAGCUUUUAGUGGCGCAGCUAACGCAUUAAGUUGACCGCCUGGGGAGUACGGCCGCAAGGUUAAAACUCAAAUGAAUUGACGGGGGCCCGCACAAGCGGUGGAGCAUGUGGUUUAAUUCGAAGCAACGCGAAGAACCUUACCAGGCCUUGACAUCCAAUGAACUUUCUAGAGAUAGAUUGGUGCCUUCGGGAGCAUUGAGACAGGUGCUGCAUGGCUGUCGUCAGCUCGUGUCGUGAGAUGUUGGGUUAAGUCCCGUAACGAGCGCAACCCUUGUCCUUAGUUACCAGCACGUAAUGGUGGGCACUCUAAGGAGACUGCCGGUGACAAACCGGAGGAAGGUGGGGAUGACGUCAAGUCAUCAUGGCCCUUACGGCCUGGGCUACACACGUGCUACAAUGGUCGGUACAGAGGGUUGCCAAGCCGCGAGGUGGAGCUAAUCCCACAAAACCGAUCGUAGUCUGGAUCGCAGUCCGCAACUCGACUGCGUGAAGUCGGAAUCGCUAGUAAUCGAGAAUCAGAAUGUCGCGGUGAAUACGUUCCCGGGCC
rnacentral:rRNA from 1 species